CUAAACAUUGGACGUCGUAUAGACGUUGAAAUUAGGUCUAAAUUGCGUCCGUCGGUCCAUGACCAGUUUUGGACCUUAGAAUGACGUACAAACUAGGUCCUUUAUUUGGACGUCUAAUAAUGACCCUAUUUGUACGUCAUUAUGAAGUUCAAAAUUCGGACGUCAGUCUAGGUCACUUUUUUGGACGUCAAAAACAGGUGAGGGAAAUCGACAUGAUUGUUGUUGUUGAUGUUGCUUUUUUUUUUUUUUUGCUUUGUUUUUAAAUAGGCCAUAGUAGUUUUCCUAGUAGGCUAUUUUUUCUGUUCACAUCGGGUGGGGAAAGAGUGUGUGGCAAUCCCAAACUAGAGAUACUCUCCAACGUGCAAUGCACGGUGGGACACACUGCCUAAACAGAUGUGUCAAAAAAAAUAACACAUUGGGAUGUGUAGACAGCAUUGACAGAUUAUGUGUCAUUUCUGUGUAAUAUUUCACAGAAUGUGUGAAACCUGAAGUUAAGAGGUUCAUUUCUGGGUCGUGCUACAAGUGAGAAACUAACGGCCGUUUGGCUGUCCAAUCGCGUGACUGGACAUUUGAAAGCAGACUUCCGCCCGCCUUUUCUACCGUUGGAAAUGCAAGAUGCGGUGACUUCACUUGACUUCAGACACCGAGAGAGGCUGGCGGCCCAGGUCUUGUGGCCACAUCUGUCCAAGCUCCUACUCUGAUUGAACAGUUAGAUGAUCAGACUGAUGGUAAGUGUGUGUGUGUGUGUGUUUCCAUGUGUAUCAUAUUAUUUAUGUGAUCAUGUGUCUAAUUGCCAUCCACUUACAGGCCCUCUGCCUCCUUUCAUUUGUUUUUUUAGAUUUUUUUUCAGAUUUUUUUUUCUUAUUGUUGUAUUGUAUGCAAUUGUGAUAAAUAUGUUACUGUGAUAUUGUUAUAACACAGAUACUUUGGUAAAUGUGAAAUUUAAGUACUGCUGUACAAUUUUCUCCUCUCAUUUUCAGAUGAAAAGUGCUACACAGUUCUCACACAUCUUCUGACUCCGAAGCCGCUGCAGUGUAAAAUCUGAGAUGUCUUUUCUGGUUGACUUUGUGCAGGUAUUUUUCAAAGGAUAGUUACUUUUAAAACGUCUUAAUCUCUAAAAACACUUUCAUGCAGAGCCUCUGUUAGGACCUCAUUGCGAUACAUGUUAUGACCUUGUCACCAAAAUGUCAAUGACCAUAUUUUAACCUGCUAUUUAAGGCUGUCAUAGCCAUAUUCUUAUAACAAUGCAGUUAAGUUCAAGAGAACUAUAGUUUGGUGAUAUGGAUCCCAAACGGAAGGGAACAGCAGCGGUUUGUAGUUGUAGAGAACUAAUUAGCGCCAAGUGUUGUUAACCUGUUGUUUCUUGUUUACCUUUCACAGUAGCCCAUAGCACUUUUGUCAUAGAGAGCAACUUGGUCAGUAAAUAUGUGCCUGCUGUAUAAAGUAGCAGUAUUUGGAUGAGUUACAGCUAACACGGCAAACUUGAGACUGUAUAUUGUGUGUUUGACAGAUUUCUGACAGCGACAGCGAUGGUGAGGGAAGCAGUGUACCGAACUCUCAGAUGACUCGGACCAGGUGACCAAACCCAUGCAAAGCACAAUGACUGUGCUGAGGCGUUCCGCCCCCCUCCCCCUCCACACCACUCAAGGCACUGCGGCGGCCCAACCGCAAACUAACGGAGAUUAACAUGAGGCUGGAUGCGCUUGGCUCCCUGCUGCGUCCAUCACCAGAGGGGCCGGGAUUGCUGCGGCAGCUAGCCAAUUAAAGGAGGAGGAUGAAGGAGAGGAGUCUGACGAUGCAGACAUCGCCAUCGUAUGCAGUCCACGCCCUCGCAGGAAAACCAGCCAAUGAAAACGCUUGCAGCAGCAUCAGCAGAACACACCGGCACGACUGACAGAGCUUCUGAAGCAUGCAGUGGAAGAGCUGUCAGUCAAGCUAAAGGUCCCGCCCUCCAACCUGCUGCUGCUGCACGGACAGGCGGAACUUAACACCUCACACACUAUUGGCCAGCUAGGACUCUGCAUCGCUGACAUCUUUGUCUGGAACCAACUUCACAUCCCUCUUCACUGCACUACUGACACUGAGAUGGAAUCCACAACCCAACCACUAGUGAUCUGCAUUGGGAACCUGAAGAGUCUGUCAUAACCGCCAGGAAUGACCGUGUGACCAUUCCCGUUGCAGACGGCCUGACUUGCACAAUUGACAAGCUGUUCAAGCUUUACUGGGUCUGCAACUUGUUAUAUCCAGCACAGCUCAGCUCUGUUUUCACCUUCUUUGAAUAUGUUUAUGACGCUCCCAUCUCAACCAACAAACGAACAAAGGCACUACAACUUCUCUCAAAGCUUCCCAGCAGCCCAGUGAUCACAACAUGUGUUUAUGCCCAAAAUGUAAAUAGUUACUACAGACAUCAAGAAAGUAGUUUGGCAUCUUUGUCAAGUACACGCUUUGUCAGAUGCACAGGAUAUGAUGAUAAUUUGCAGCCAAGAUGGCUGUUCAAGUGUACAAGGACUUACUAUGUAGACACCACCUCCGUAGACAACACCAGUCCACAACAACAGAAAUGGGAGUAUCUUUCAAUGACUCUUUUGAAUCCACUGACAUUCAGACAGCCUAUGCAGCUUCAAGUAACACCUGAAGAAAGAGCAUUUUGUGUCCCUUCUCAAGGACCGAUUCUCCAUAAUUUACCACUUAAUGACAAUUUAUCUGUGUUCAUGCUUGUUAGGAUUAUUACAGGGAAUUAUUUUGAUUAUCAUUUUGGCAACACUUUAUUUUAUCAUUACAUCUAUUAGCUCUAAUACAUACAGUGUUAAUGCCUGUAUGCUGUAUAAGUAACUUGUAAGGCAUGCACUAAGCAAAAUCAAACAUACGUUAGGCAUGUAUUCGCAAAUGCCUUGUUCAUGCACAAUUUGGGAUUUAUUACCUAAUAUAACCUCAGUAAGGACCUAACAAAUGUUUGAUUUCGCUUAGUACAUGCCUUACAAGUUACUUAUACAGGCAUUAACUCAUUGAUACUGGAUGUUGCGUUGUGCAACAUUGGCCCUGGCGCCUGGAGUUUUGUAUGGCAUCAGCACCCUUUUCUGCAAGUGCUUUAGGCAUCAAUGGGUUAACAUUGUAUGUAUUAGUGCUAAGCGAUGUAAUGUUAAAAUAAAGUGUUACCAUCAUAUUUUUAAAAAAUAUAUAUGUUGUAAAACUGGACGAUUGUGAAAUUAUAUGAUGUGGCAGAUGUAAGACCCAUUGAUGUAAUGCAGAGUUUUCAUUCAGAUGAACUGUCUCUUAACCCAAGGUACAAUGUCUUUUCUUCCAAUAUGUUGGAACCUAUUUCAUAAGAAUGUUAUUUUCAAGAAUAUUUAACACUACUUCGAAUUUCAAGACUUUCGGGUUUUGUAAUACACCGGUAAUGUUGUUAAGAGAUGAUAGUGUACGAGUCAUAAUCAUCAAUACUUCAUGAAAUUCGCAGUGAUGUUAAUUAUUCUUGAAAAAGAUCACAUUUGUUAUCUCCCCCUCUUCUGAAAAGCCUAACAAAAAUAAUAUGACAGUAAAGUUAAUGUAAUGCAAUUUUUUUUUUAAUUGAAUGUAAACACAACUCUACAAAAAAAACGUUGCAGAGGUAUGUAGUCAAGACUUUUGAAGAUUGAACCUUGUAAACAAAAGUGUUUUCUAAAUAAAAGUAAACCCCCCCUGUCA